rnacentral:rRNA from 1 species
AACCAGGGGAUUAAGUUGUAUUUAACGGUAAAAAGAUAGUUAGGCAAAAAAUUGGUUUAUUUCAUUUAUUUAUUAGGAGGUAGAAUUCGAAUAUAGAUAAAUACAUCGUAUAGGACCAACGAGCCGAAGCUAUGAUAGCUUUGAGGGAAACUAGGAUUAGAUACCCUAUUAUUCAUUGAAGUAAAUUAAGGCAUUUACCAGAGCACUAUGAACAAAAAAUUUAAAACUCAAAGGGCUUGGCGGUGUUUUAGACUACUUAGGGGAACCUGUCUUAUAACCGACAAUCCACGUUAGACCUGACCUUUUUUUGCUAUUCAGUUUGUAUACCGUCGUCGCCAGGUAACUUUUAAGAUUUAAACAGUUAGCUAACAAAACUAUUUAGUUAAGACGUCAGAUCAAGGUGCAGCUAAUAAAAAGGUAAAGGAUGGGUUACAAUUAUGUAUUAAUAAUCACGGAUUAUCGUUUUAAAGAUGGUAAUGAAGGCGGACUUAAAAGUAAAAUAAAUUAUAUAAACAUUUUGAAUAAAGCUCUGAAACGUGC